rnacentral:rRNA from 1 species
UGGGGAAUUUUGGACAAUGGGCGAAAGCCUGAUCCAGCAAUGCCGCGUGUGUGAAGAAGGCCUUCGGGUUGUAAAGCACUUUUGUCCGGAAAGAAAUCCUUGGCUCUAAUACAGUCGGGGGAUGACGGUACCGGAAGAAUAAGCACCGGCUAACUACGUGCCAGCAGCCGCGGUAAUACGUAGGGUGCAAGCGUUAAUCGGAAUUACUGGGCGUAAAGCGUGCGCAGGCGGUUUGCUAAGACCGAUGUGAAAAUCCCCGGGCGUCAACCUGGGAACUGGCAUUGGUGACUGGCAGGCUAGAGUAUGGCAGAGGGGGGUGAGAAUUCCACGUGUAGCAGUGAAAAUGCGUAGAGAUGUGGAGGAAUACCGAUGGCGAAGGCAGCCCCGGCAAGUCACUGACGCUCAUGCACGAAAAGCGU